rnacentral:lncRNA from 1 species
CAAAACCUCAAACUAAAAAAGAGGAAGACAUCUUUGCAGAUAUAUGUCCCAUUGACCUGAAAUCGGAUGCUCAACUUCCGGACUUUAGUAGUCAGGAAUUUAGAAUAUGCAGAGGGCUGAAAAGACAUAUGGCUAAGUGGCUGAAACAAUCCAAUUAAAGACACACGCCAGGUUUUCUGUACCAGGUACUUCUUCACUUGUUGUCUAAUUGCAUGCUCGUUUGUGACUCAACUCUGUUUAAUGUUGAACAUUU